UACGGAGGAUGCGAGCGUUAUCCGGAUUUAUUGGGUUUAAAGGGUGCGUAGGCGGGAUGCCAAGUCAGCGGUAAAAACGCGGUGCUCAACGCCGUCGAGCCGUUGAAACUGGCGUUCUUGAGUGGGCGAGAAGUAUGCGGAAUGCGUGGUGUAGCGGUGAAAUGCAUAGAUAUCACGCAGAACUCCGAUUGCGAAGGCAGCGUACCGGCAUCCAACUGACGCUGAGGCACGAAAGCGUGGGGAUCAAACAGG
rnacentral:rRNA from 1 species